rnacentral:rRNA from 1 species
UACGGGGGGGGUAAGCGUUGUUCGGAAUUACUGGGCGUAAAGGGCUCGUAGGCGGCCAACUAAGUCAGACGUGAAAUCCCUCAGCUUAACUGGGGAACUGCGUCUGAUACUGGAUGGCUUGGAUUCGGGAGAGGAAUGCGGAAUUCCAGGUGUAGCGGUGAAAUGCGUAGAUAUAGGAAGGAACACCAGUGGCGAAGGGCGACCACCUGGACUGAUACGACAGCUGAGGUGCGAAAGCGUGGGGAGCAAACAGG